rnacentral:lncRNA from 1 species
GUGCGUAGGGAUGACCCUUUGCCAAAUCAGCAGCAUGAGCAGCAAUUUUGUAGGAUAUCACACCUGUCUUAACAUCAUCACGAUUAGGCAACCCAAGGUGCUCCUUUGGUGUAACAUAACAAAGAAGUGCAGUGCCAAGAGCUCCAAUGUUGGCCGCACCAAUGGCUGAGGUGAUGUGGUCAUAACCAGGUGCGAUAUCAGUUGUCAGUGGACCCAACGUAUAGAAAGGUGCUUCAUUACACCACUCCAGCUGUUUUUCCAUGUUUUCAGGAAUUUUAUGCAUUGGGAUGUGCCCUGGACCUUCAUUCAUCACCUAAAAGUUGAUAGAUAUCAGGAAGUUUGCCCCAAAGUUUCAACUAUUGAGUUAUAUACAAACCAUGGUCUACAAAUCAGCAAUUUGAAACUUUGAAUCAUCUAGUACUUUGUUAUAUGUUAGUCGAUUUAACAGAAAAUUCCUAGGUAAACUUAACUGCACUGGAAAUAAAAGCAGAUCACUGAUUAGAUGUUAAACAGCUAGAUGGUAUUAGGAGUGGCAUAUUUUAUGUUUGAUAUGCAAUCUGUUGAUCCAGCAAUCAUAUUUAGUUGUAUUGCAAAAGGAUAGCUUGGUUCACUGUUUUCCUUUCUGUCAAACUCGCAUUUUUCAAAUCCAACAAGUUUUGAGUAUAGAUCCUCACAAGUUACAAUAUAGAAUACUUUUCUGACCAGAUCUGCACAGGCGCUACCAUUUCCAACUAAUCAUUUACCUUAUGCAUUUUGAAGUUAAACCAUGUUUAUGUUCAGAACAGGUUUUUUAUUCUCACCUGCACAUCUUUCGCCCAUGCUCGACGUGUUAGUUCACCUUGAGUCAGCAGUUCUGCAAACUGAGCACUAUCAUUUGCGUCAUAAAUAGAACCGGGCCUCAAACCAUCACCAAUUGAUAAUGCCACAUCAUAUUGAUUGCAUAUGUCAAGAAUUUCAUCCCAGUGUUCAUAAGCAAAGUUCUCCUUGUGAUAAGUUAAGCACCAUUUUGCAUGAAUUGAGCCACCACGUGAAACUAUGCCAGUCAUUCUCUUUGCUGUAAGAGGAAUGUAACGAAGCAGGACACCAGCAUGGAUUGUGAAGUAAUCAACACCCUGCUCAGCUUGUUCAAUCAAGGUAUCCCUAAAGAUUUCCCAGCUCAGAUUUUCAGCAAUACCAUUUACUUUCUCAAGUGCUUGGUAAAUAGGAACGGUCCCAAUAGGAACCGGAGAGUUACGAAUAAUCCAUUCCCGGGUCUCAUGGAUAUGUCUCCCUGUUGAGAGAUCCAUGACAGUAUCAGCUCCCCACAUUGUGGCCCACUGGAGCUUGUGAACUUCAUCCUCGAUGGAGCUCAGAACAGCUGAGUUCCCAAUAUUUGCAUUCACCUUUACAAGAAAGUUUCUACCAACAAUCAUGGGUUCCAAUUCCAGGUGCCUCUUGUUGGAAGGAAUUAUGGCCCGUCCACGGGCAACUUCUGUCCGAACAAAUUCAGGACUAAGGUUCUCGCGCUUGGCACAGUAUAACAUCUCCUCUGUUAUGAUUCCAUGUUUAGCAUAAUACAUUUGUGUGUAACGAGGACUACCCAUCUUCUCCCUCCUAUCAAUCCAUUCCUUCCUUAUCUUUGGGAGUCCUGCAAAUUAUUUUUGAAUAUUAUAAACAGCUUAAUGUGUUAAAUUGUAUGCUGGGGAGCAAUGGAACUUCUUUUGAGGGAAAACAGCAGGACAGAGCCCUUCUGUUAUCAAACUAUAUUAAAUAUAAAGAAAAACAUUGCAUAGACAAAGAGAAAAAUAGCCCAGCAACAUGGUGAUGUGAGCACUUCUAAGUUAUUAUGGUUUAUCAAUGCCUUGUUUGCUGUUUUAUACUAUCACAGUUAGUUUUAUAAGGAAAUUCGUGUAUCACAGUUUGCAGGACAUAUAACAUUUCAUAUUCUUGCCCUUUUUUAUGAAAAUUAGACUAAAGGGCGUACCCAGUGCGAAAGCUCCCACACAAGGUGGGGUCUGGGGAAGGGAAUUCCUAGACAGCCUUACCCUUGCAAAAUUCUUUUAAAAUUCUGCAAAGAGGCUGGUUCGAACCCAGGAUCUCCAGGCCACAAGUGGAGAGUUUUACCACUGCGCCAGGUCCGCCCUUCUUUUUAUGAAAAUUAGACUAAUUAGUCCAAUUGAGCUUUUUAAAAAAGCAACAGUAAACAUGGUCAUAUAAAUUUAAAGAUAUGUAAACAUACAUAAGUAACCAGAAUGUCAGAGCAAUCCAAGACACAAAAACAAAGCAUAAGGCCAGGGAGUUACCAAUCCUUGGGCUUAUAUUUUGAGGACCACUGGUGUCAUAUGUAUCAAAGUGCUUCUGAUCUCCAGUCAAAUGGACUCUCCGGAAUGGAACCUUGAGGACAUGACCAGAUUCCUCGUGAACGAUUUCACUGAAACGCAUAAGCCAUAACAAAUAUAAGCUAUUAGCAUGUUAGCACGUCCAAGAAUAGUCACAAGGUCAAACGAGAAAGGAAACCAUACCUUGAUUCUUUGGUACUCCUUGGAAAGCAUUCUUCAAAUGAUGGGAGUGGCAGAAAUUCUGGAGCUGUAGGGUCGACUGUGUGCUUGCUUUGCCUGGGUUUUGAUGGCUCUG